UUUUAGCCCCGAUCGAAACGGUAUCCUUUUUUUUUGAGGCUGGUUUCAGGAAGGAAAAAAAAGAUUUAGUGUAGAGCGGGACCGAAU
rnacentral:sRNA from 2 species